CCAUUUCUCAUUCUUGGAAGGUCAUGAGGAGCCAAAGCACUUCAUGGAAUUAGCAAGGAUUUUAAGCAGAGCCUUCCUUCUCUCUUCUGUGUGUGACUUCCCGUGUGCAAGCUCUCUGCCCGAGUCCCUGUACAGGAUUGCGCUGAGUGGACUUCAGAGGGCUCCUGGGAACUUCUUGCAGGAGAAGGGAUUUGCAUCAAAUGUCCUUGGUGAAAAUUUUACUCCCCAUCUUGAUAUGCACUGUCGCUGCCCCUUUUCUCCACAGAAGUGUCUGCAUUUCUCUUGCACUGUGUGCAUGGUAUAUAAAGCAUUUUGGAUGAAAAAUCUAUAGAAGUGUGAUACUAAUAAUAUUUUACAGCUUUAAUUACCAUGAUUGUAGCGCCUAAGGGUGUUUGCAAAAACAUUUUGAGUGGGAGGAGAGAAGGCAGCACUGUGAACAUUUUUGUGGUUUUGCUGGGCAAUGCACAACUGAGUUUUCUCAUGGGAACCACAGUGUGCCAGGAAGAAAAGCUGCCUGCACCCCUCUGUCUACUCCACUGGCAUGCUGGAUCACACCCCAAGGUAAAAGACACUGCUACAGUCAUUUCAAUUUCAAGGAAAAGCUUGUCUGCCCAUGCCUCUGUUCUGUAGAGAAGCUCCAGAGGCAGGCACUGUCCAUUUCCGCAUGCAACAGGUAUUUUUCCUCAGGUGACAUUACUUUUGUAAAAUCAGCGGCAGUUUUGCCUGAGGAGUGGUUUUAGGAUUGGGCAACUGCUGAUUUGUGGCAUUGAUUCGUCAAACUGAGAACAGCAACCUCAAGAGUAACAAUGCAAAUGGAGUAUUCGCUCCUUCACAACUCCCACCCAUCCAUACUAUGUAUAUGUGGGCAGAGGAAAGACAAUGAGAACAACAGAGGGGCCUUGUGUGGCUGUGCUAGUGCUCGGAGGGGUCGGGGUCAAAAAUCUUCAGGCAGAGUUCACCACGGGAUGCUUUAUAGCAGUGUAAAUAGUCUUAAUGCAAAGUAAUAUACCUAGCUGGCCAGAACUAAUUUUUAAAAAUAGGAAAAAAAAAUCCUACAACAGAAAUAAAGGUUCUAAGAGUUUACGGUAUAUAGAGUUUAUGGUACAUGGGUAUAAAGAAGGGAAACAGUACCUUCAGGACAAUGCACUGGAGAAGUUUUAAGAGCAGAUUUUGAGUGAAAAAGUACUAUCAUUUAGGUGUAAGCGCUAAGGUGUAAGCACUUUAUUUGCCCUUUGUUGGGUAAAUGUCUGUUAUUUUAUAAACUUAGCUAAUACUAGCCCUUAGCCUAAGAAAAAAGGCAGAUUUACCAUGAGAAACCAUAAAAAAGUCAAUUUGACCUGUUGUAUCAGUAUAAAAUCUCCAUCUUUGGGGAUGACCUUGCAUUUCCCCAGCUGCAGAGUUCAGUCCUGUAUCUUUUGAAAACUUAACAGUUUCACCCUCAUGCUUAGAUCAUGUAUUAAUUUUGAGAUGUCUCUGCAUAGUUUAUAUGAUGGUGAUUUGCCGUAGGUUCAUCAAUAAGAUGCUUCAAAGCCUGCAAGACUUCUACAUGAAAAACUGAAACACAAAUUCAAUUUGCUUUAAAUAUGGUACCCAAAGAGUCAGUACGUGACUCAGCUUCCAUGUACACCGGUACCUAUCCUGUCAGACACACGACUGUGAAUUACAGUGAAGUGUUUUGAUAGCCAAUGUAUUGAUUUGAAGGCAAUGAAAACAGAGAGGAAACAGUCAUGAGUGCGAUAGAUAUUUCUGGCUAUGAAAAAAACUGUACAUAGCCUAAGAGAGAAACAUAUUUCAUUGAGGGUUUUUUCCUGACUCUCUAAGUUUUGACAUUUCAUCCUUUUUCUUUUGUUACACUGAAUAAGAUUUUCGCUAUUACAAACUCAGAUUUUGAUCUACUUUUGAUGAGUUAAAUGCAGUAAAAAGA